rnacentral:rRNA from 1 species
AUUGAACGCUGGCGGCAGGCCUAACACAUGCAAGUCGAGCGGAUGAAGGGAGCUUGCUCCUGGAUUCAGCGGCGGACGGGUGAGUAAUGCCUAGGAAUCUGCCUGGUAGUGGGGGAUAACGUCCGGAAACGGGCGCUAAUACCGCAUACGUCCUGAUGGUGAAAGUGGGGGAUCUUCGGACCUCACGCUCUCAGAUGAGCCUAGGUCGGAUUAGCUAGUUGGUGGGGUAAAGGCCUACCAAGGCGACGAUCCGUAACUGGUCUGAGAGGAUGAUCAGUCACACUGGAACUGAGACACGGUCCAGACUCCUACGGGAGGCAGCAGUGGGGAAUAUUGGACAAUGGGCGAAAGCCUGAUCCAGCCAGGCCGCGUGUGUGAAGAAGGUCUUCGGAUUGUAAAGCACUUUAAGUUGGGAGGAAGGGCAGUAGGUUAAUACCUUGCUGUUUUGACGUUACCAACAGAAUAAGCACCGGCUAACUUCGUG